AAAGACUUGGAACCAAUCCAAAUGCCCAUCAAUGAACACCUGGAUAAAGAAAAUGUGGCACAUACACAGCAUGGAAUACUAUGCAGCCAUAAAUAAGGAUGAAUUCAUGUCCUUUGCAGGGACAUGGAUGAAGCUGGAAAACAUCAUUCUCAGCAAACUAAGUAGAGGAAUUGCUGGAUUAUAUUGAAGGUCUAUUUUUAAUUAUUUGAAGAACCUCCAUUUUGGAAAACUCAAAUUUCUGAGCAGACUGAUCCUGGACUCGACGCGGGGAAUUGUUUGAAAGGCUAUUCACAGAUCAUCAUCAGCCAGAGGUGACUUCUGUUGCUUGCAGCUCAGAAUCCUAGAUGUUUCCGGUGGCACUGAAGAGCCUCUGCUGAAGCUCUAUACCAUUUGCCAUUUACAAAGGGAAAUGAAAUAAUAACGCUGACCAUUUGUGGAGCACAUUCUGUCUGGAGGCAAAGGAUGCCAAGAUGGGAAAGCCACAUAAUGGAAGGAUCCUGGAUUUCAGAGCUGUCACUUGGAGGAGGGGCACCCAGUGAAGGUGUCUUAUCUAACCCACACCAUAUCUUCAUGAAGUGGCCAUAUGGAUUUGAUCCCUAUCCUUCAGAGGUGCUCAGCCUAAGGGAACACGGAUAGUAGAUUAAGCACUGACCAGAGCCAGCCUUGACAAUGUGCUGAUGG
ensembl:lncRNA PROX1-AS1 PROX1 antisense RNA 1